AGCGGGGUAGGGCAGCCAGGUAGCCCGCGGGGCUCAUAACCCCGAGGUCGGUGGUUCAAAUCCACAAGCCGUAGCCGUAUGGCGCGGCUGGGGAGCCCCCGCUACCA
rnacentral:tRNA from 1 species